rnacentral:rRNA from 1 species
ACUACGGGAGGCAGCAGUGGGGGAUAUUGCACAAUGGGGGAAACCCUGAUGCAGCGACGCCGCGUGAGUGAAGAAGGAUGUCGGGAUGGAAAGCUCGAACAGCAGGGAAGAAAAUGACAGUACCUGACCAAGAAGCCCCGGCUAACGACGUGCCAGCAGCCGCGGUAAUACGUAGGGCGCAAGCGUUAUCCGGAUUUACUGGGUGUAAAGGGAGCGUAGUCGGGUCGGUACGUCUGGAGUGAAAGCCCGGGGCCCAACCCCGGGACUGUUUGGGAAACUGUGGAACUGGAGUACAGGAGGGGCAGGCGGCCUUCCUGGUGUAGCGGUGACAUGCGUAGAUCUCCGGCGGAACACCGGCUGCGAAGGCGGCCUGCUGGACUGCACCUGCCGUUGAUGCUC